UACUAUUCACAGUAUAAAUUUGAAUUCGAACCAUCUCUAUUCAUUUACAUCCACAAAAACCUAGACUGAAACAUCACAAAAGAAUCGUCAUCACGAAAAAAAUAAAAUAUAUAUAAAUAGAAAAAUAAAAUAAAAAUUAAGUACUACAAACUGACAUGAGGAUCCGGUUUUGUCAUGCCUCAUUUCUGUUUAUAAAAUGAUAAACCAUCUGAUGAAGAGAGUUGCAGUCAUUCCAUGCAAUGUCAGCUGCAGUUCAUUGCUUUGCAACAACAAUGACUCCACAACUUGCUGUCCUGACAGGAAUUGGCCAUUCGUAACCAAGUUUUUCUCACCUGCUGAUCAAGACAUUCACAAAAUGUGUAAAUCACCACAAGCAUGACAGGAUCCUGCUUUCGAAGUGCAACUCACUUGUGAGCUUUCUCACAAUGAGCAAGGAAUGAAUGCAUUGUGAGCUUCAUGGGCCUAGACAGUCCCCACAAAUUAGUCACCUGGAAAACAAGUUACGGUGGAGAAAAAUCCUGUGUUUGAAUCAAUAGUUUGCAAAGUUUGCCACAAAUCGACGU
rnacentral:lncRNA from 1 species